rnacentral:misc_RNA from 1 species
GAAAUGCGAUAAGUAGUGUGAAUUGCAGAAUUCAGUGAAUCAUCGAAUCUUUGAACGCACAUUGCGCCCUUUGGCAUUCCGAAGGGCAUACCUGUUCGAGCGUCAGUUGCACAACUCAAGCACAGCUUGGUGAUGGGCGCCUGUCUCCCCGCGCUUUGCGGCGGGACUCGCCUGAAAAGCAUCGGCGUCCGGCGCCUGCUUGACUUUUCUGAUUAUCCAGGUUGACCUCGGAUCAGGUAGGGAUACCCGCUGAACUUAAGC